rnacentral:lncRNA from 1 species
AUCGAUUCAGUGAGGUCCAGUUUUACAGUAGCAAAUCAAACACCAAACUUCAACCAAGAUCAGAUGACAACAACGCAGCCUGACCCAAGUUUCUUAAGCAGCCAAACCAUUCCAGUUUCCAGCCGCACAAACCCAACCGAUUCUAUUAAAGGUUACACCUUUAACUCAUCUUGUAUAUCAAGCAAUUGAAUAGAAUGUCACUCACUUCUUAUACACAUGCAUGAUAUAUUUUAGUUCCACAAAUCUAUCAGCAAGCUUUCAUCUUUCAUAUAUUCGUGUAUAUAUAAUUAGUUGGGCUUUUGUUUUAAUUUUCAAUUGGGCCAUUAAUUUUCAAUUGGGCUCAGUUAAUUAAAAAGAAUGUUGGACCUUCAAUUAUUUAAAAUUGUGGGCGGCCUCCUAUUAAUUAAAUGGACUAUACUUAUAUUAAUUAAUUGAACUAUUAAAUAGUUUAAUUUAAUUAUUUAGAGAGUAAUUUGCAUAAUAAUAUUACCAUAUUUUAAGUAAUUUCUUAUUAUAUGCCAAGCAUGACAUGAAAUUGCAUUAUAUUUUUGCAAUAAGAGUAUUUAAGAUUCAAUUGGUUUUAUUUAUAAUUCCAAUUAUUAAAGAAAUAUGAGUAAGAAUAUUGUUGGUGUUCUUAACUCAAGAGAAAUGUUUUCAAUUAUUUAUUCAUUAAAUUUUGGAAACCCGGCGUGAUGAAUCAAGUAUGUUUAGUACAUUCACUAAGACUUUAAGUUAGCUUCACGAGACCUAUUAAGAAUAGAAUUUUGUAGGCUUUGUGACCAAGGGGAUUAGCGCUGCUUUCCCAAGACGAGUUUAUGUGAUUAUGAUCUUCAGGCUUUGCCUAUCCAGGUGGGCAUUACUUUUACUAUACGUAUAUAGAGAUCCCCUGCGUGUCGUAGGCCUCUUAUACGAAUAUAUGCAUGAGAUGAUUUUAACUGUUAAUUUCAGUUUAUUAUUAUGCCCAAAUGAUAAAUGACUCUUAUGAAAUGAAAAUGAAAUGUUCAUGAAAUGAAAUGAAAUGUUUAUGAAAUGAUUGACUGCCAAAAAUGUUUAUGUUUUUAUAUGUAUCCUAUCUGUGUUGGUUCGCCAACUUUUAAAGGAAAUCCAAUUGGGAUCCUAUGCUAGACAAAGGUCGCUAGCUAGGGUUAACGUGUACACUCAUGGAGACCGCGAGUCGCUUGCGACCGGUCUUGGCGUCCGUGGUAAGGAGGCCUCCUUCCCGGCGCGUGACAGAAAGGAACAGAUAUGGAUCAUAUGAAGGAAAAUGAUCGGCCGAUCGACUUUAUGAAAAUGAAAGAAAUGUUUUAGUAAGCGCAGGUCUUUCAAGAAAACCCCUGUGUGUUACUGUUAUGGCAGUUCAAUUUAUAUAUGUAUGCAUGUUGUAUUUUCGGCUAUGCCCACUGAGUAUUUUUAUACUCAGCCCUGCAUGUAUUUCUAAAUGUGCAGGUUGAGCAGUUGAUGGAAUGGAAUGAUGUUGAGCGGGUGUUCCUUUGACAUUUCAAGAAAUGUAACCUU